AACGCACGAGACCUGCGGACCUGCGGAGGGAUCAUUAAUGAGAAACUGCCCCUCGCGGGUAGAUCUCUCACCCUUUGUAAACUUACCUUUGUUGCUUUGGCAGGCCCGUCUCCGGACCGCCGGCUUCGGCUGGCCAGUGCCUGCCAGAGGAUUCUAAAACUCUGUCUGUCAGUGUUGUCUGAGUCUAUAUACAAUCGUUAAAACUUUCAGCAACGGAUCUCUAGAUCGGAAGAGCACACG
rnacentral:misc_RNA from 1 species